rnacentral:rRNA from 1 species
UACGGAGGGUGCAAGCGUUAUCCGGAUUCACUGGGUUUAAAGGGUGCGUAGGCGGGUAUUUAAGUCAGUGGUGAAAGCUCCGAGCUUAACUUGGAAACUGCCAUUGAUACUGUAUAUCUUGAAUAUCGUAGAGGUUAGCGGAAUGUUGCAUGUAGCGGUGAAAUGCUUAGAUAUGUUACAGAACACCAAUUGCGAAGGCAGCUAACUAUGCGAUAAUUGACGCUGAGGCACGAAAGCGUGGGGAGCAAACAGG